GAUGAACGCUGGCGGCGUGCUUAACACAUUCAAGUCGAACGAAGUAGCAAUACUUAGUGGCGGACGGGUGAGUAACGCGUGAGCAACCUGCCUUUGUGAGGGGGAUAACGUUUGGAAACGAACGCUAAUACUGCAUAAUGUAUAGAAGUCACAUGGCUUUUAUGUCAAAGAUUUAUCGCAGAAAGAUGGGCUCGCGUCUCAUUAGAUAGUUGGUGGGGUAACGGCCUACCAAGUCGACGAUGAGUAGCCGGACUGAGAGUUUGAACGGCCACAUUGGAACUGAGAUACGGUCCAGACUCCUACGGGAGGCAGCAGUGAGGAAUAUUGGGCAAUGGGCGAAAGACUUACCCAGCGACGCAGCGUGAGGGAAGAAGUCCUUCGGGAUGUAAACCUUAGUCGACAGGGACGAAGAAAUGACGGUACCUGUAGAGGAAGCCACGGCUAACUACGUGCCAGCCGCCGCGGUAACAC
rnacentral:rRNA from 1 species